UACAGAGGGUGCGAGCGUUGUCCGGAAUUAUUGGGCGUAAAGAGCUUGUAGGCGGUUUGUCGCGUCUGCCGUGAAAAUUCGAGGCUCAACCUCGAACUUGCGGUGGGUACGGGCAGACUAGAGUGUGGUAGGGGAGACUGGAAUUCCUGGUGUAGCGGUGAAAUGCGCAGAUAUCAGGAGGAACACCGAUGGCGAAGGCAGGUCUCUGGGCCACUACUGACGCUGAGAAGCGAAAGCAUGGGGAGCGAACAGG
rnacentral:rRNA from 1 species